CUAUUAGACUUGAAAAUAAACUCAACAACUUCUAAAGUCUAGAUUGAAACUUGACUUUCAUCUUUCACAUUUAGGAAUCUCUCAUCAUUCUCAAAUUUUUUACUAAUUUGAAGUUUUUGCAAUGAAUUGCAUAUGUGAACUGAACUUUCGAUAUCCAAUAUCCAGAAAGUAGUGUCACAUAUAGAGAAAUUACAAGGUAUUAUCAUAUAAGCACCUUGAUCAGCAACUAAUUAUUUAUUUCUCUUUAGCUUAUUUGGGUCAUAGUCUGCUUGACUUGAUUCAGCUCUAAAUCUUUUAGCUAGAUUGGACUCAAGAUCAAUAUUCAACUUUUGAUAUUAGCUAUCGAAGUUGGAUCCAAUAAGCUCAUCACUAUCAAAUAGUGAGUGGAGUGAUAAAUUACUAGCCAUUUCUAAAAAAAAAAUACAGACCUAAUUAGUAUAUGAAUUAAUCAAACCUAAAGAUAUGAACUUUAGUCUAAAAGUUCUCCAAUUAUUUUAUAUGAAUUGAUAGCCUCUAUCUCCAAUUCGAGAAAUUACCUUAAUUUCUUAGUGGGUACUAAAAUUCACGCAGACUGCAUAU
rnacentral:lncRNA from 1 species